rnacentral:rRNA from 1 species
GUGGGGAAUAUUGGACAAUGGGCGAAAGCCUGAUCCAGCAAUGCCGCGUGAGUGAUGAAGGCCUUAGGGUUGUAAAGCUCUUUUACCAGGGAUGAUAAUGACAGUACCUGGAGAAUAAGCUCCGGCUAACUCCGUGCCAGCAGCCGCGGUAAUACGGAGGGAGCUAGCGUUGUUCGGAAUUACUGGGCGUAAAGCGCACGUAGGCGGUUACUCAAGUCAGAGGUGAAAGCCCGGGGCUCAACCCCGGAACUGCCUUUGAAACUAGGUAACUGGAAUCGUGGAGAGGUCAGUGGAAUUCCGAGUGUAGAGGUGAAAUUCGUAGAUAUUCGGAAGAACACCAGUGGCGAAGGCGACUGACUGGACAAGUAUUGACGCUGAGGUGCGAAAGCGUGGGGAGCAAACAGGAUUAGAAACCCUGGUAGUCC